ensembl:lncRNA
CGCAUACAACAAAUAAAGAAAAACAAACAAACAAAAAGUUUAGCAAGCUUUUCCUACAUCUUCCACUAAGUUCAGUAAAUAAUUCAGAGAAAAUAAGUUCAAAGAAUAUCCUAAUUCUUCACUGAAUUCUUCUGACAGUCUGUUAACAAACAGAUAUCUGGGUGGUUGAAAUCAGGAUGAAAGCCUGCAAGAGCGAUCCCUCUUUGUUGCUGAAGAAGAAGGCUUUGUCCACAGACUCCCCUGCUCCGCCUGAUGAAGUAGCCUGUAGAAGACCCCAACCAGUGGACAUAAUUUGUUGAAGCAAGCAGGGAGAAGGAGAGUGGGAGACAUGGUGAGAAAGCAAAAGAUGAGUAAAGCUUCCCCCUUUACCAGCUAUAAUUCAUUGGAAGAGCUUGACUGUCCGAGUAAGUACAGUCUCAAGCAACUGAAUAUGUGUCCAGAGAAGAAUCGUAGGCACAGAGGGACUGGAUGCUAAUGAGACUAUCCCAGAGUUGAUGUGAAUUGUGAAUGAUGAAAUGAUGAAGAUUCUUGACUGAGUUCCUCUAGUGAUGAAAAGCAAAAUAACAAUAAUUUAAAAAACCCUUUACUUUCUGUGAUACAUAGGUAGAAGACCUGCUGUAGUAUAAUUUAUCUGGAAUCAAAUCUGAAAAGUUGUGUCUUAGAUUUUGAUAGCACAGUCUAAAGUUUACUCUGGAGUUGUACUUAAAAGGAGCAGCUGAGAAUCAUAUGAUGCAGCUGGAGAAAAUCAGGGAGUUUGAUUGUUCAAUGAAUACAAAGAUUUGGAAUACUGUAGAAACAAUCUCUAAAUAGAUUUGGACAGAAAUUACACAAUUGAAGAAGAGAGAGAAGCAUGUGCUUCUUGCAGCAUACUGCUUGUUGCAUUAGGAUUUUGCUUUUUAAGAUGCUACUGAUUUGAGCUGUCUGCUGGAAUAGAAGCAUUAUGCAAAAUUACAAUCAGAAAAAAAAUCUCUUUCUUGGACUUGAAGUCAAGGUCAGCUACGUAUUUUCCAUAUAUUAAACUUCAUUUGAGGAAAUUCACAUGAAUAUAGUAUCAAUUCUAAAAACAGAAUGAUGGAAAAAUUUUGAAGACCAGUGACAUUCUCAGAAAAAAUGGGCUGUGCUUUGACGUGUCUUUCAGGGUUCAGACCUACUCAGUUGUGCCAUAAAUAAAAGUGAUGUGCAAAAUGCAACAAAAUAUUAGUUCUGUAGUGUUAUCUCAAUGAUGGAAUGAAUGAUUUAGGUAGUGUUAAUCAAAACAAUCAGUUUCACAUUGAUAGAAAUCUCAGUAUCAUCUCUAGCAUACUAUUCCUGCAAACAAGGUGUUCAUAUAGAACAAUUUAUUGAUGAGGGGAUUAAGUGCACCCUCAAUAAGUUUGCAGAUGACACCAAGUUGGGAGGGAGUGUUGAUCAUUGAUCUGCCUGAGGGGAGGGCACUGCAGAGGGACCUGGAUAGACUGGAUUGAUGGACCAAGGUUAACUGUAUGAGUUUCAAUAGGGCCAAGUGUCAGGUCUUGCAUUUUGGUCACAACAACCCCAGGCAACCCUACAGGCUUGGGAAGGGGUGACUGGAAAGCUAUCUGAUAGAAAGGGACCUUGGUGUACUGAUGGACAGUUGUCUGAAUACGAGCCAGCAGUAUGCCCAGGUGGCUAAGAAGGCCAAUGGCAUCCUGGCUUGUGUCAGGAAUGGUGUGGUGAGCUGGACUAGGGAAGUAAUCCUGCUCCUGUACUUGGCAUUGGUGAGGCCUCACCUUGAGUACUGUGUUCAGUUUUGGGCACCUCAGUACAGAAAUGACAUUGAGAUGCUGGAGCAGGUUCAAAGAAGGGCAACAAGGCUUGUGAAGGGCUUGGAGAAUCUGCCCUACGAGGAGAGACUGGAGGAACUAGGGCUGUUUAGUCUGGGGAAAAGGAGGCUGAGGGGAGACCUCAUUGGUCUCUUCCAAUAUCUAAAAGGUGCUUACAGCGAGAGCGGGAUUGGUCUCUUCUCACUGGUGACAGGUGACAGGAUGAGGAGAAAUGGCCUCAAGUUGUGCCAGGAUAAGUUUAGGUUGGAUAUCAGGAAACACUUCUUUACAGAAAGGGUUGUUAAGUACUGGAAUAGGCUCCUCAGGGAGGUGGUUGAGUCAUCAUCCCUGGAUGUAUUUAAAAACCAUUUGGAUGUGGUGCUCAGGGACAUGAUUUAGCAGAGGGUUGUUAGAGUUAGGGUAGUAUGGUUAGGUCAUGGUUGGACUUGAUGAUCAUAAAGGUCUUUUCCAGCCUGAGUGAUUCUAUGAUUCUAUGAUUCUAUAUCAACAUGGGUACGUGUAAUACCUGUAAGUCACCAGUGUGCCCUUGUGGCCAAGAAGGCCAAUGAUAUCUUAGUGUGCAUUAAAAAGAUUUUGGCUGGUAGAUUAAGGGAGGUUAUAUUCUUCUCCUGUACUCUGCCCUGUUGAGGCCACACCUGGAAAAUUGUAAUGCCUCCUAUUUAUUUCCAUGGAAACUACCAACAUACCAAGAGCACAAUAACACUCUUUGGUACAUGAAAUUUUUAGCUACAAAACACUAUUUUUCAACAUAGUUACCACUGUCAGCUAUGCAUUUUUGCCAGCAAUGAAAAAGCUGCACUCAUUAAAAUCGUCACCAACGGAGGUGACCUACUCUUUCACAAUUGCUGUGAUGAUGUCAUGCAGUCCAUCUUUCAUCCUCCUGACCAGAUGGAAGUCAGAAGUGCCAAAUCCAGAAUAUAUAGUGGGUGUACAACAGUACAGCCAAGGUUGGCAGAGUGCUCCACAGUCUUCAAACAGGUAUGGGGCAGGGCAUUUUCAUGUUUCAAGAGAAAGGUUAUCCUCUUCUUCUCUGAUCUGACUCUGGAAGUUCAAGCCUUCAGAUUACUCAGCAUUGUGGUGUAGUGGUCAGAUUAGAUGGCUUGUCCAGGCUCCAGGAAAUUCAGAAGGCUCAUCCUUUUCCUAUCCAAAAAGAGAGUGCACAUCACUUUACCUACUGAGGGCUGCAUCUUGAACUUUUUCUUUGAUGAGGAAUUCAUGUAUCACCAUACCAUGGAUUAUUGUUUUGACUCCACUUCAUAGUGGUGAUAUCACAUCUCAAUCAUCUGCAAUGAUGUGAUCCAUGAAUCCGCAACCUUCAGCCUUGUAUUUUUUUUGAUAGGUCCUGACAAACUUGGAUAUGAUGUUCUUUCUGUUACCAUGUGAACAUUCUUGGUUGGAACUGAAGCAAACUUUGCAGUAUUGCAUCAUUGCCUCCAUUGUUUCCAAUGCACUGAAGGCAAUAUUCAGCUCUGUACACAGUUCCCUGGUCAUAAUUUGCCAAUUUGUAUGGAUGACCUGAUUGAGACAGUCUUUAUUGUGUGGUGUGACAGCUGUACAUGGCUGUCUGGAACAUGGCUUGUCUUUCAUGUCACUGCCACCACUGCUGAAAAGCAUGUGCCACUCAUCACCUCAUUGUGCUCACAUCCACUCUUUGAUCUCCAUACACGUACAGCAAGUGUUGUUGAAUGUCAGUGGGUGAAAUUUUUAGUGCGUGGAGAAAUUCAGUAGCACACUUGCUGCCAGACUGCCCCUCUGCUGCUAUCUGUCAUAUGGCAGCAAAAUCUAAUGGAAUAUUAAUGAGGAGGUUCAACAUCUACUGCCAUACCACCAACAUCCACCUUUGACACGGUACUUUCAGAGCAGGCCUCAUAGCAACAGCUGUGCAGUCUCUUUGCUUACAGCAAGUAAAGCAAAUUAUCAGUACUCCAUACUACAGCAGGUGCAUCCGUAUGUUGGUUGAAAUACUCAGAUGUGACAACUAGUUUUAAGGCAGUAUUUAAAAAGAAAAACAUGUUCCUACUUCAUGGUAUUGCAUAAUGUUCAGCAUGCAGUAGCCUUAGGAGCCAAGGAUCCUUAUAUAAACUCAAAAGUGAAUAAUUUUCAAGGAACACAGACUGGGAGAAGGAGUUUAAAAUAAAAUGUAUGAGAUGAAAGACAAAUAGAAAAUAGUUGGGAUAACUAUUUAACGUUUUUGUCCAAAGCAAUGAUGGAAUGGAUAUCUGAUUUUCAGGACUAUCAAGGACUAGCUAGAUGUCAUAGCCUGCACAUCUGUUAAAGACUUCUGUAAACCAUAAUAAGGCAACUAUGUCCCUAAUAUCCAACCUAUUAAUAUAUGAAGACAAAUUUAAACUAAUAUCAUAGUUUAGUAAAUCAAUUUCAGUGUUACGAAAAUUGUGGGACACAUUUUAUAUAUGAUAUUGUGACUUUCUUUACUUUUUUUUUUUUCUUUCUUGUUUUUCCUUCAUACUUCUGUGAAGGUUACGUAUGAAUUUAAUAUACUCAGAUUUCUGUAUUUUCCUAUGCUCCUUCCUUGUAUAUUCGUAUCCUGGAUACAUAGAAACAGCAAAGGGUCCUUUACUACAGAUUGCAGUGAGGCAAAAAAUGAGAGGAAAAACAAAAGGUAUUUUGUUAUUGUUGUUUUUGUGUUCUUUUGUUGUUGUCAUUUUUUAAGCUUGUCUAAUAGCAAAGCCUAUUCCUUUAAUUUAUGGAGGUUUUCUCAAUACAAAAAUGUUAGCACUGGUAAUUCUAUUUAAAAAACAAACAAACAAACAAAAAACCGACAAACAACAAAUCCCUCCUUCUACGGUUCUUCAAACAUAAAUUUAUCUGAAAGGUGAUUUAAUACGUCUUUUUCCAAAACUUGUGUCACUGCUCACCCAUGUCUUCAUCAGUUUUUUCAUUGUGUAGCUCUGUGUUCUCAAAUGAUAUUUUCCUUAGAUUUAAAAGCACAGCUUCUUCUCUCAGCCUUGAGUUGGUUGAAAUUCAGGGACAUUUCACUCAAGGCUCUUAGGGAAUUUUCAGGCAGCUAAGACCAAAACAGAAUUUGAAUCAUUAGCUCAUUUUUUUUUCUGGUAAGUAGAUAUACAUUUGAUUAAGUGUAAAGUGUUCAGCAUCCUGUCUUUCAGUGAGAAAUGCACAGACACACUCCUGAACAUUAGCAUGUUAACACACCUAUGGGAAUCUGAAUUCUCCAUUACCAUUUUUAUCCUUUUAGCUUGCUUUUGCACUUUGCAGUACCACAGAUAUCAUAAGCAAAAUGAUGGAACAGCUGUAGAGCCGAUCUAGGUAAAUACCACAUACACUCUCACUUCUAUUUUAGCAAUAUAAUUAAACAGGAGUUAGAAUUUACAAUGUGUUGACAUUUUAUCAAUUAAAUCAAGGGAGAGAUAGAAGGAAAAAUAAUUUUGGGGAUGUCAGUGAAUUGUGGCUUUUCGUUACUUUUUUUUUUUUUUUAACUCUUUUUAAUGUAAGAAGUUUAGUAGGUGCUUAUUUUCCAUGAUGAUUUCUCAUUUUAUAUUUUGGUUCGCUGCUAUACUUUUCCAACUGAUGGUUUGGAAAAGUAAUUACAAUGCAGUGAAUGCACAGUGGGCUCUACAGUUUGGUAAAUUCUCUACUGGAUCUUAUAAAAAAGUAGAUUUUCAGUUUACUUAGACACGAUUAGGUUGUCUUUCUUCUCUACUCCCUCUAACAGCCAUUAUCUUAAUAGUGAUACGUAAUUCUGUGCAUAAAUGCUGAGACAGUCUCUUGGCAGGAUUUGCAACAGUGAUGACACACGCUCCCCUUGGCCACUGACACCAUGUAGAUGACACAUUUUUUCGCAGGAAAAUAUCUUAAGGAAACUUAUAAUUUGCUAGUCUUCACUGAUUACUAUGGUUGCUAUUGUUUAGUUACAGUUCAGAGGUACACUAAAGCCAAACAGGAGUACAGGUACAUGUUUCUAGGCAAUCCUACUUAUUUUUUUCCUGAGGCAUUUAGACAGUGGGAAAGAAAAUUGGUUAUCUCUUUAGUAGUUUCUGGAAAGAGGAAAAUCUUACCAAUGUAGAGUUGAAAAAACCCCAAACCUGAAACUGUCAAAACAGGAUAAAAUGUAAGAUAUAGCAUAUUCAGAUGACAGAAGGAGGUGUUCCAGCAUGGCAGUAUAGAAACCAUACAAAUAUCUUAUUUGAUACAAUUAUAAGAUAAACUGUAACAGGAAGUAUGCAAGCGUACCUCACUGCUAUAGCAGUUGUUUUGUUAAAAAAAGUGUCCCAGUAUAAUCUCUCCGAGUUUAUUUCUGCAUUUUUUCCACUAUAUAUUGGAAAUGUUAAAUUAAGGGUUGUAAGGCAUUCACAGAGAACAUGCCCAAGGCAACAGGGAUACUUCUAGUGCUUGUACUUUUUUCACUCAGUCAAGUAUUUUUUCACUUGAGAGUAUAGCUAAGACAUUUAUCUAACAAAUCACGCAAACAUUAUUUUUGUCCUGAUUAUAGCUUCAUUAUAUUUUUCCCUACCUUUAUAUUUCUCUCUAAACUUUGACUUUAAAAAUUUCUCUGUCGUCUAAUGUAGUCAAUUCCCAAUUUCCAUCUGAUAGCAAGUGUGAAAUAUUGCUAGUGUUUUCCAAAUGAGGAAUUAAAUAAAGCGCACUGUGGAAGGACUACAGCAGAAGUCCAGAGACAUUAAGCAACCUUAUCAAGUUAGUUUCAUUUCCUAUAAAAUAAAAACUGUAGGUCAAACAGACCUUACUUUAAUCCCUAUAUUAAAACAAUAGAUGCAGUGGAACGCUGGCCUGGCUAGUCAGAGCUGCUACUGCACUGUAGUGAAAGAAAGUAUAUUUCACUCAAUUAUGUCUCUCAUCCUACUCCAUUUUCAUAUCCAGAGAUCUGUCUCUAUCUGGAAAAAAAAGGCUGGCAUAGUCCUUGGGAUCCUUGAUGUAAGCGUGAUUUACAUAAUUGCUUUUCAGUCUGCAAAGGGCAUGGACAAAAUGCUCUAAAGGUUCUGAACUAAUGUGUUCUUUCUCUGAAGUAAGCAGACUCCACCUACAAAACAUUUUCUGGCAGAACUGUUACAUAAAGAAUCAACGUACAUCACAUGCAAAAAUAAACAUGCACAUAUUUGAAAAACAAAAUAUUUAAAAACUAAUCUUUUGCUUUAUUUUUCUCAUGCUAUCCUACCAGAUUUUUGGCAGCAAAAUCACAUAGCAUUUCCUGGUUCAAUGAUUAGCUCUUCCAUUCUCAUUUGAUGGCAUUGGACUGUCCCUGGAUAGUGGAAAAUGGAGGAAUGUGCAUCAUUUUCUGAAGCUAAUGAUUUACAUCCCCAUAUAUGCUCAUGGGGAAGGACUUUGCAAGGCAUAAUCCCAUUUCAGUUCCUCCUUACUCUGCUAAAGCCGGGUUUUCUUUUCUAGUCUCUGAAUUUCCUCUUUCUUUUUUUUUUUUUUUUUUUUUUUUCCAGUAUUUCUCUUGAAGCAAAAUCCUGAGUAUUCCUGAAGUUUGUAGUGUUUUACUGCUCUGCAGUGCCUAGCUCCUUCAUUUCUGUUACUGACAGGUCUUGUAAUAGGAACUAUGUUUCUAACAACAUACUGUGUUGAACUCAACCAACUAGAAGGAGAAUUAAGGGAGAGAAUAUUCUUAUUCUCUGAUACAAAGAAAGCAUCUUCAUUUGUGUAUUGCAGGAUAUAUUACAAUAAUUUGUUUUACAUUUCUUCAUUACACAUGCAUGCUCUCUUCAUAAAGGCUACAGUGAUUUAUUCAGGACAAGGUUUUUCGUUUAUGCCAUACUUGGAUUAGUUCUCUAUAUGGCUCUGCACAUGAGGUACCCACAUCCAGGUAAUUCAGACUCAGUCUGCUUUAGUGUGCAGCUGCCAGCCUUGUAAAUGUGAUUUGUGCCAGGAAUGAUUUUGCAGUGCAGUGCUCUGUGCUAACUGCAGCUUUAAAACUGGUGACUGAGGUACGAGCGUUGCCACAUAAUUGUUCAAGUUCUUAUUUUUUUGAGGUUUUUUUUUGUUCCAAGUUGGACCAAAGAAAUAUCACUAUCAGCUAUAUCUCAAUGAGGGGUCGCUUGGUUUUCAUUGCAACUAACUUACAUUGUUUCAGAAUUGAGUUUAACAAACACUACUUCAGGAAGAGUAGAUAGGGCAAAAAAGAUAUGGUUGUCAUUUAAAUUAAGCUUAUUCUAGGGAAAUGCAUGAUAGGAUAUCAUUUAUGAAUACUAAACUCAGCUUAAAAUUCAGGUAGGCUUUCUGUUCCCUCUGCUCAAAUAUAUCCCUUAGAUUGCUACAGGAAUCCAUUGUAGAUCUCAGAUCUUUUUGGACAUGGUAUUAAAAACAGGCUUUUCUGAAAAGGGUGGGUUGAUUGUCUCUGAUAGCUUAACAGAUAUUUCUUUUUUUUCUUGUAAGAUAAAAUUAUCUGUACAAUCUAAUCUGUGAUAAAAGACAAUGCCAAAUUCUGCUUAGUCAGAGAACUGCUUGUUCUUCCAGGCACUCUUCCUUAUCUUAGGGGAAAAACAAACAAAACUGUUACUCUUUUUCAGAUUGCAGUUUACUUCUCACUUCUCAGUGGCAUUGAUACUAGCUUGUGGAAAUGUCCAACUGUGAGCUUGUUACACCAUGUGUUUACCAUCCUCCAUUUUUCUCUUAUCCUUAGUCAAAAUAUUGAUUCUGUAGUAGACUUUGUCCUAAGUGAGUGUUCAUCAAACAUGUCUAAUGCUCGAAUAGGUUGCUUACCAGAAUGGAUUGUAAGCAAUUAUUUCAUAAAACACCACUGUGUUAUUCACAAUUUAGAGACCCCAAGAUAUUAUUUCUAUGCUUAAAUUUGAAAAUACUGGAAGCACUUUUUUAUUCAAACAGUAUUUAGUAACAUGACAUUCUUAAAUUUGCAGUGAAAUUUCUGUUAAGAAAUUUUUAUGAUAGAAGGUAUGCCCAAAGGAAAGAAAGGUUUCCUUUCUGAAUCUUGGAUAGUAGAUAGGAAAAACUGAAUAGAUGUAUUUUACAUUCGUUAAAACAAUAAUCAACCAAACAACCAGAAAACAAAACAAAACAAAAAAGAAGAAAAAGCAAGAAAGCAAUUAAGCAAGCAAACAAAAAAUGUCCAAGGAUGUAUUUCCACCAUUUGUAGCUUACCUUUCAAGAACAAAUUGUGAUCUUUUAAAAUCAGACUGUGUAGCAGAUAGUUGAAGUGCUGUUUAAACUGAUGUUGCCUGUACUAUGUUUUAUAGCAUAAAGUGUAAUCCCAUUACAACAGGUAUUUUUAAUUCUUAUCAACUGUUUAUGGGCUGAUUUGGCCCCGGACUAGCGGGACAGAGGGACCCAUGGGUCUGCGCCUCUGGAAAGGGGAAAAUAAAAGGAAAGAGAAAUGGGCCCCAAAAGUAACAGUGGGAAUGGUUUGAGGAGAAACAAACUAACUUACUAAAUAAGAUAUCAGAAUAGAAGAAGAUAACAUACUAUAAUACAAUGUAAUACAAUAUCAUUAGAAUUGGAGCUAAUAAAUCAACUAUAAUGAGAUAGUGUCUGAAAGCCAGAGGCCUUACUUUAAUGCUGAGAUGAGUUGUGCAGUUGGGUUGAGCAGAAGGGAGGAGAACCUGACAACUGAAAGGGGAUUUCAGGUGACCUACCAAGGCCUUUAUCUGUUCCCCCUGAGAGGAAAUGAUAACAGAACAGCGAACAGUCCUCUGGGGGAUAUAGUAGUUCUCUUCUGGGACAGGUACCAGGACCUGGAGCAUUAACUCUUUAACUCCCAGUGCAAUACAUGAUGUUAUGAUGUGGAAUACCAUUAGCCCCAAAUCAUAAAACCAUGACACUUCUGUUCCAUAAAAACAUAAUGGAAAAAACAGGAAUUUUGGCAUGUUUGCUUCUACGGAGGAAUUACUUCUAAGACUACUGUUCUGUAGAAUUCAUUUUGUGUCAAACAUGGAGUACAGUUUUAAUCAGGAAGUCAAGAUUUAUAAUGCAGUAGCAAACAUUUUCUUUCAAAAAUGAGUUGACUUUGGAAAAUCUGCUUGACAAAAUCUGUAGUAUAGUAUGUAGAUGGGCAUGUGUUUCAAUACUGAACAGCACCAUGUUCUCAACUCAUUCAAAUUGGAAUCAAACUGGAAAAACGUUAACAUUUGUAGUAAACAGGGAUACAUUGUUUUUGUACACAGCAUCUGUGUUUAUCCAGAUAACCGAGUGAUUUCCAAGCUGUUGUCCCCUGGAGGUUAUCUUUCCAUAUUCCUUUGAGGUUCCAUGAAAUUAAUCUUAUUCUGAAAGAAUGUGUGUGACUAAGGAUAACUGACUUAAAUCCUCAAGGAGACUAUCAGUGAAAAUGUGGCUAACUGUUAACACACAAGUUGUGAAGAUUUCACUAGCAGAAGUGAAGGCUGCCUAAAAUGAAUGAAUUUUUGUUUGGUUUUACAUUAUCUAUAUGGUUAACCAUGAGCAAUGUAUAUAUUUUGAAGAAAUUCCAAAUUAAGCCAAUAUUUAUAAAUGUGAGCAUUUCCCUCAAGUUCUUUUUUCUUUAAUCCUCAAUAAUUUAUCAUUACCAACCUCAUCUUAUUCUAUGACCAAAUUAUCUGUCCAGUAGAUGAAGGAAAGGCUGAUAGUCUAGUUUACCUAGACUUUGACAAAACCUUUGACACUGUAUCCCACAGUAUUCUUCUGGGGAAGCUGGCAGCCCAUGGCUUGGACAGGUAAAUUCUUUACAUGGGUAAAGAACUGCCUGGAGGGUUGGGCCCAAGAGUAGUAGUGAAUGGAGAUAAAUCCAUUCACAAGUUGGUGACUUGUUACGAAAGGCACUUCCCCAGGGUUGGUAUUAGAGCCUGUCCUGUGUAAUAUCUUCAUUGAUGGAUAAGGGGAUUGAAUGCACUCUCAGUAAGUUUGCAGAUGACACCAAGCUGGGAGGAAGUGUCAAUCUGCCUGAGUGUAGGAAAGCCCUACAGAAGGUUUUGGAGAGGUAGAAUUGCUGGGCUGAGGUGAAUGGGACAGUGCUGGGUCCUGCAUUUUGAUCACAACAAUCUCAUGCAGUGCUACAAGGCUGGGACAAAGUUGUUGGAAGACUGUGCAGAAGAAAGGGACCUGGGGUGUUGGUUGACACUGAGCUGAACAUGAGUCAGCAGUGUGCUCAGGUGGUAAAGAAGGCUAAUGGCAUCUUGGCUUGUAUCAGAAAUAACAUUGCCUGCAGGAGCAGGGAGGUGAUUGUCCACCUGUACUCAGCUCUGGUCAGGCUACACUCUGAGUACUGAGUAGUGCUCAGUUUUGGGACCCUUAUUACAAGAAAGACAUUUAGGCCCUGGAGUGUGUUCAGAGAAGGGCAAAGAAGCUGCUGAGGGAACUGGGAUUGUUUAGCCUGGAGAAGAGAAGUCUCAGGGGAGACCUUAUUGCCCUCUACAACUACUGGAAGUGAGAUUGUGGUGAGAUGAGAUUUGGCCUCUUUGCACGGGUAACUAGUAUUAGGAGUAGAAGGAAUGGCCUCAAGUUGCUCUGGGGCAGGUUGAGGUUGGAUAUUAGGAAAAGCUUAUUUUCUGAAAGAGUGGUCAGGAAGUGGAAUGGGCUACCUAGAGAGAUGGCAGAGUCACCAUCCCUGGAGGCAUUCAAGAAACAUGUAGAUAUGGUAUUAAGGAACAUGUUUGAGCGGGCAUUAUUGAUGGUAUGUGUACGGUUGGACUGGAAGAUCUUAAAGGUCUUUUCCAAUCUCAGCGAUUCUAUGAUCCUAGAAUUAUAAAACAUGAUAAACCAUAUAUCUCUUUGGUAAUAGAAGAAAUAACUAGAUUGUAUUAUCUAUUGCCGGCAUGGCAAGUCUACAAAAUCUUUCCUAUGGUCUAGAAAGGUGGUGUAUUUUUGUUUGUUUGUUUGUUUUUGCUUUCCAUCUACUGGGGAGAUUUGUUCAACACAGAAGCUCGGAUUCAUUGCACUAGUAUAAAUCACUUAGUAGCCAAAUUAACACGACACUCCUAAAUUUUCUAUAAUUAGCAAAGUGUACCCCAAAGCAGGAUUUCCAAUUUAGAAAUUACCUGUUGCUACUUAAAUGAGGUUUUCUGAACUGAAUAAUAAAAAGUGUGGCUUUUAGCAAUUACUGAUACUGCUUGCUUUGUGCUACUAAUACAGAUGUUGAUCAAUCCAAAGACUGGAGUUAUGAAACGAUUUGGAUGCUACCAUUUACAUACAACGGCCCAUGUACACAGGUUGUGGUUAAAAUAAUGCCUCCUAUUUAUUCUGAUGGAAACCACAACAGAUACAAAGAUAGCAAAUUCUCUAUUAAAUAGCACUAUCCUCUAUUAAAUAUUGCUAUUUAAUAGAGAAAAUUCUCACCUAGAAAACACUGUUUUUCAGCAUAAUCACCACAAUUAGCUAUGCAAUUUUGCCAGCGAUGAACAAGAGCCUGUAUAACUCACUCAUAUAAAUCUAAAUGGAAGUGACCCACAGUUUCGCAGCGGCUGUGAUGGUGUCUUUGCUGAAAUGCAGCAUCCACUGCCUCACUGUGCUCGCAUCCACUGUUUGGUCUCCAUACAUGCUCAGCAAGCAUUGAUCAGUGUCAGUGGGUGCAAAUUUUUCUGCAUGGAGAAAUUCAGUGACACACUUUUGCUUCAUACUUACUUCCAUGUCAGAUGCCAUUCUGUCAGACUGGCCCUCUGCUACCAUCUGUCACAUAGCAAUAAAAUGUAAUAGGAUAUCGGUGAGAAUGUUCAGCCUCUAUAGCCAUGCCACCAACAUCCACCUCUGCCAUCAUAAGCCAACAUAAUUAAAUAGAUGGCAUUGCUUUCAAAGCAGCCCUCGUAGAUCUUAUGCACAACUGAUUCAGUUUGAAUUGCAACCUUUUCUUUAUGUAUUCUGGAAAUGUAUUCUGCAUUCCUGUGUUUGUUUGUUGUUUGUUCAUUUUUUUCCCUUCACUACAGAGGGCUCUUUUUGUUGUGAAGAAUGUCAUGUAAAUUAUUCUUUUACUAUCAUGAUAAGGAAAAUUUUGCAGAUUCCGUUUUGCAUUCACCAUAGCCUACUUUUACUUAGUUAUUCUAAAGAAUAUUACUGUAAAUAAACCAGUAAAGACUAUCCAAGAGACUUAACAUGUACCAAGCUAUAUCUGGAUGUACUAUGUGUUCUUCACUGUGUUUUUCUGAAUUGAUAAUGCAAAAAUAAUAUUUCUGAAAGCUCUGUGGAAUGAAGUUAGGUGAACUUUACUACAGAAGGUAGAACCAUACUAACUGAAGUAAAUGUUUAUAAGUUGCAGAAUCAGGAACAAAAAGCUAGACGAUGCAGGAAUCAGAAGAAAAGUAAGAAAACUAGAGAACAAAACUAAAAUAUAAAUUUAAUGACACUACUUAUGAGGUACUAAAUAACAUGCUUUGGAUUUUGCUUAAGAGACUGCUAUGAAUAUUCCUUGGGUAGAUUGCUUUCAUUUUCCAAAUGCACACAGUAUUUUUCAUAGGUAUAAAUUCAUUUUGAAAAUUCAUAUCUCUGAAAUGAUUUUAUAAACUUUAGAUCUGAUUUUUAACAAAGAAUUAUUAUCACUUGUUUUCAAGAUGGUCUAGAGUGACCAAGCAAUAGUUAUAACAGUAACAAAAUCAAACUCAAAAACAUGUAUAUUUGUCAGUAGAGAUAAGCAGUUCUUUAGGGGCAGGGGGAAAGAGUUUUUCUGCUACUGCAUAGUAUUUAUUUUCAGAUAAAUAUAGAAAUUUCAUUAAAACAUAAUUAAAAAUAAAGAGUUUUCCUCCAGCCUUAAAGCUUUCAGAAACAGAUUUAUUUAUUUGUUUAAUAAAGAGAAACCUUAGACAGAAGGUAGGAAGAGACUGAAAAGUAAAUUAUAUUACUGAAAUGAAUUUUGUUCAUUAGAAGAAUUUAGUUCAUUAAAAAAGUGGCACUAUUUUUUUCUUAGCUAUAAAGAAAAAUGGCAUCAAAACAAAACUAAAGUUCUGUAACUUAGAGAGUAUUCUUGAUUUUAAUUUGUAUUAGGAGGCUGGGUUUAACAAUACAAUUUUCACUUCUACCAGAAAUACACUUUGGCAUCAUUUUUUCAGAUUCUAACAGUAAUGCACAGUGAAAGACUGCAAUAUGAAAUAACAUCUGUAUAUGUAGCAAUGUAUUAAAUAUUGUUACACUGUGUUUGAUCAAUAUAUUAUCUCUGUGUUGUAUUUUUUUUUCCCAACGUUUUGGUAAAGAUAAACAUUCAGAAGAAAAAGAGGAGUCUGUGUGAGUAUGCAGUCACAAGAACAAAGAGAAAAUACGUUGAUCUGCAUCCUCAGAACCUUAAAUCGACUGCUAUCAUGGAUUUCAGAAAAAAACAAUCUUUUCUCCUAUGAUUCUGUAAAUUUUGACAUGUCUUCCAGGUUAAUCAAUAAUAUUACAGAAGUUCUCCGGAAUUCAGUAAUUCAGUGCUGCAUGACGUACAUUUCCCUAAUGUAACUGUAUUUUUUGGGUUCUCUUAAAGUUUUUUUUUUUUUUUUAAUUUAAAAAUGUAUCAUUCUUGCUUACUCUACUGAGUCUUAUUUUCAAUACUUUAUCACCUUUUUUAGCCCUUUAAUGCUUUUCCAGUUUGUUACCUGUAACAAUUUAAAAGUGAAUAAUGUCAACAACAAAAAGUGUUUAAUCAUAAAUAUAUAUGUAAAUGCACUAAUUUUAGUUCUGCACUCAUAAUAAUCUAUUACCUUUCACAUAACACUCUUGAAUGCAAUAGCAAAGUUGGCACCACUUCAGUCCAUAUUUCUUCAAGUCCAUUGCUCUUUUCCUUGCAGUGCUCCUUGAAAUGGAAAUCUGCCACCUUUCUUUUCUUUUAUUUGUAACUCUAAGCACCCAAGGCAGAUAAGUACCUCCCCAUUUCACGUUCUCAUUCUAAUGCUGCUUCCCAUAACUUGUAGAGCAGCCUCUUUGAAGCCAUUUUUUCUAUGUAGCUUAUCAGCUACCAUAAACAAGUUUAUAAUUGGGUCCAGUCUCAUUAGAUCUGAACUAAAACCUGCAGAAAUUCAUCAUAUACAAGCUUACUGAUCCUAUGAAAGGACUGAAAAGUUUUAAUAGAUGUGAAAGAUAUGUCUUUUGCCCUGAUGGGAGAAAAAAAUAAAACCUGAAAUCAAUAAGGGAUCUUAAUUUAUUUCAGAAAAAAAAUGGCCUUUUCAAACCAUCCUUUAGUUUUCUUUUUUUUCUCCCCAUGGCUUUAUUUUCUACCCUUUUUAUUCUUACUAAGUACAUUUCAGCAAGGUUUUUCCUUAUCUAAAUUGAAUAUAUUACUUUGAUCUUGACAGACAGAGUGAAUAUAUAGGCCUUGACUUUCUCAGGUGUAUACAAAAUGUUGACAAUAACUUUGGAAAAAAAAAAUAUCUUACCUAAGAAAGAGGAAAGAAGCUGGAGGAAAUCACACUUCUUAACAUUUUUUUAAAAAGUCAGUUUCUUCUUCAAUACAUUUGAAGGCCUUUUCUCUUCCACCUAAUUUUCAUAGGGGAAAUGGAGUUUUUCUUCCUUUACCUGUAUUAUAUAAAUUGUGUUGUUUCACAAAAUGAUGACUCACAGUAGUGAAGCUUAGUCAUUUUAUUUUCCCCAUCUGCUAUUUUAAAUGCAAAUUUGAACCAAUUCAUCUUGAGAGAACCCAGUCCCAGGAUUCCCAGGGAUGUGUGUUUGGAGUAGUACUUUAAGGGAGGAAACCUCAGCCAAAGUCUUUGUUCUAGUCAGAACAAAUUUGCAUCUCAGACUGCUGUAAACUGUGUGGCUGCCCAGAACAUUGAUGCGUUCUUCCUUGGUUUUAGAAACAGAGAUGUUUUUCUUACUGAAAGUCAACGUGGAAAGAGAUUUUCACUCUAGUGGCAGAUAUCAGAUAAUUUAACAUCUUUUUUACAGGUUAUUUUUAGUUUUGACAUCAGCAAUAUCAGUAAUCAGUAAUACCUAUCUCCAGAACUAAAAUAUGUGCUUUGUUUUUUAAAAAUAAUCUAAACUCCUCCUGUUCAGGAAACCAUAGAAAGAGCAGAAACUGAUGACUUCCUGGCUGGAUUAAGAAAGCAUUUCUGUAGACGAGUUCUCACAUAACAGUGUCUGGACAUAAGACUAUCAGAAUAAAUGUAAAUGGAAUAAGGGAAAAAAUAUGAAUGUGGGAUUCCGUGUUCUUCAUAACACCAUUUUUUGAAGUUCAGUCUAGUCUACCUCCUGACUGAGAAGGGAAGCAGUAGGAACUCCUUAAGGUCCAUGUAGCAAUGAUUAUGAUAUAUUCCUUUUGUUGUUCCCCUGCAAUACUAAGAUGCUAAAUGAAGUCUGAAUACCAAGCACCUGAGAGGAAAUAUGACCUAUCUUUGGCUAGUACAGGUAAACAAGUGGAUUUGCUUCUAAUUUUAAGAUUAUUUGGAUUCAUGGAUUUGUCUGAAGGAAGAUCAUAAACAAAUUUACUUAAGAAAUUAUCAUAUAUAUGCUUUCUUUAAUAGGUCUCUGAUAUGUUCAUGCAUACUAGGUAAUUUUUAAAUGUUUUAAUUCUAAUGUGAUAUACUAAAAAGUUGAUUUAUUAAAGGCUUUAAUUUUUAUAUAAUGCACUAAGCAGAUUUCAUCUACAUUGAAAUGAGAGAGCAAUAUUUUACAAUACUAGACUUGAAGAGGAUUUCCUAAAAUUUUCUGAAAUUAUAUUUUUAUUUCUUUAAAUACACACUCAAACAUGUGACAUUUACAGACUCUUCACACAGACAGAUGGAAUACUUGUUUGGAUAGUGAUAAGUAUAGGUACAUUUUCUGCUUGUAGUUGUUUGUGGAAUUUGCUAUUAGGCCACGAGUAGUAGUUUUUUAGUGUCCAUGAGACAUCCAAACUAUAAUUAUAGAUGCUAGCUUUUAGGUACAGCUUCAAAGUGCAAAUCUUCUCUCUACAGUCUUUCCUGAGAACUUAGACAUCACAAAUAACCUUUUAAAAUAUUUAUUCUCUGUCUAAUCUGAUGGUAAAAAUUAUAAUGUCUAUGUGUCAAUUUCUCAAUUGCACUCCAUAUCAGAAUUCAUUGAGUAGAUUUGAAAAAUUAGUUUCCUUCGCAUGAAAGUUGACUUUCUUGUGAAGACAGACUCAUUAAUCAUUAAACACCUUUAUUGUCAUUCCCUGGUAAUAUUUCUGUUCAUUGCCUCGGGAAUUUUUAACAAAAAUGUAAAAAAGAAUUAAAAAAAAAGAAAAAAAGAAAAAAAAAAAAAAGAAAUCAAGUACACUAUUUUUAAGGGAGAUCUCUACUAGCCAGUAUCAUGUUCCCAGUGUAGAAGAGAAUUCACAAACUAUGAGUACAGGUUUUUGAAACAAUGACAAUACUAAAUGUAUGUUGUUCCUUUAAAAUCUAAUGAGAUCAUACUAGUAUGUACCAUUGGCUAUCCUUGUCUGGUAAUUUCACCUAAACAAUUAAUAGAGAUGUUGCAAUGAACACAGUGGACAGAAUAUUAGCCACACUAAAAGACCUUUCAUAAAGCAUAUUGAGAGAUCAGAGUUUGCUUCAGUUUUAAAACUUUGGCUCAUGCAUAUCCAGCCUGCCUCUGUCCCAUGAGGUAGGACGGAUGCAUGAAAAACAGAAAGAUGCUUGUGGGUUAGGCUGACAACUCCAUGUCAGAAAGGAUUAGUGAGAGGAAGAAGGAUAAAAUAAUCUAUUCCACUGAGAGACAGAAAACAGCGGGGGAAAAAAAGGAAAAAAGCAACUAGAAAGAAAGUAGUGUUAGUCCAGACAAAUCAGUUCACAUUCAGCAAUGAUUUAUGUCUACCUUUCAACACUUUUCUGACUUGUGUGUAUAAUUAAAAUCACACAUAUCCUUUGGUACCCUUCUGGACAGAUAUGGUUGCUGGAGGCAUGCUGUGCAGCUACCAGCAUUUUUUUUUAAAUACAUAACUUGAAAAUUUACUAGUGAUGGAAGACAUCGAAGUUCCUAUGGAUUAUUACCCAUAUGAUAGAAAUGGGAAUCUGACUACAAAUGAAAGAAAUAAUUUAUUGGCGUAUAUAAUGUGUGUAAAGACAGAAUCUGAUUUCAGGAUUCUUAAAAAUAAAGGAGCUUCUCUUCUGGGAAAAAAAAAAAAAAAAAAAAAAAAAAAAAAGGCAUGAUGACUAGGGAAGGUACGUAUUUCUCCAGUGAGGACAGAGAAAAUUAAAUAAUAGUAAAGACAGAUUCUGUUUGUAUUUUAAGUGUUUUUGUCAUUCUGAGCACAUUCAGUGAGCUUUCAGAGUGGUUUAUGUUGAGUAUAAAUUUAUAAAUACAAACACUAAUAGCUGUUAAAAACACUGUUAAAAAAUCAGUGAAGCAAAUGAAGAACUUAGAACUACAAAACUAUUGAUCUCUGAUCUCUGCAUAUGUUCUAUAUAAGAUGAUGCUUGAUCAUUAGCACUGUUCUUACAGCUCUUGGAGGCUUGUUCUUCCAUUAUCAUUCACAAAACCUGUGAUCUGAAAUCAAACAUGACAUGGUAUCUGUUGUGGAGGGUUCUUGAAUCUUGAGCU